rnacentral:lncRNA from 1 species
UUCCCUGAAAUUACUGAUGAAGUCUGAAUGGUCAACCAUUAUUACAAGCACUUUAUGAUUAACACUAGCUCUGGUCACUUGCUGCAGAUCCUCAUCAUCUGUAAUUCUCACCAGGCCAUCAAAUAUUUUCUUGUCAGGCAAACACCAGUAGAUGAUGUGCUGAUUCUUAGGAUAUCCCAACCAGUUUAGGUGUUGUUCUAAUACUUCAUAACUAAAUGUGGCAG